rnacentral:lncRNA from 1 species
GGGUUUUGCUUUACUGCCCAGGCUGACCCAGAAUUCCUGGGCUGGAGUGAUCUUCCUGCCUUGGCCUCUAGAGUAGCUGGGACUGCCGAUGGGAUUCCACAGUGCCACACUGUCAGGCUUUCUGAUGUUUGAAUCACAUUAGUGUAGGCUUCUCUCACUGUUGAACCUUUUUUUGUUUUUUUCUGAACUUUUUACUAACCGAAUUACUAAUUCCAAAUUCUCAGGAACAAACAGAUUUGCUUAAAAAUUAACAUCCCUCCCUAUCAGAAUAUUUUGUACCUAGUACUCAAACAAACAAGGCUUUAUAACACGAAACAGAUGUUACUAAGACCGAAAGUCUCCCCUUGCCGGGGAGUGUGUGGCUCUGUACAAUCCUGACCUCCUGCCAGGCCCUACCUCCUGGGCCUGUCCCGCCUCAUCUCCCUUUUCUGGAACCGAAGCCCCAAGGACGGCGGGCCUUUGCUCUCCCCAUCCACACGGGCUGGUGGCCACAGCCGCUGGAGACAGCGGCACCUGACAGCCUCCUUCCCGGGGGGCACUCAGCGCGGGUGGAUGACCCCUUGCUGGGUCUCCCUCUGAGCAGGACGGGGGACAGAAGUGGUCCCAGGAGAUCGCGCAGGGGCUGCUCCCAGCCCUGGCCUCGGCCUCAACCCCCACCCCUGUGGUCCUCUAAGAACCUUCCCCGCGGUCCCCGCCCCGUCCCGUCCCACCCUCUGCUCUGCAAGUGCUGGGUGCUGCCCCGCCCGCUCCAACCUCCUUCUCCCCGGCGCUGGUCGGGUCGGUCUGGAGGGCCAGGUCUGACCGUGAGGCGUUGGCGUUGGCCGGACUGGCUGCGCCGGACGUGGGGCCGCCUCCAUCCAGUCAAGGCGGAGCCGGCAGCCAGCGGCCAGGGGCUGGAGGCCCAGGCGCUUCCAGCCAUGGGCAGGGGCUCGCUGAGAGCUCCGGGAUUGGCGGUGCCGCGGUGGCUGCUGUCACUACUGCUGCUGUCUCGGGGGCCAGUGUCUGGCGCUUGGUUGCUUCCAGGAAAUACUUCUGGAGAGCCAGUCACCACCCCCUGGGUCCUGGAUGGACAACCCUGGCUCACCAUCGUCCUGAAAGAGCCGAUCUCGACACUAGACUCAGGCCUGGUGGCCUUGGAAGCUGAAGGCCAGGAGUUCCUGCUUGAGCUGGAGAAGAACCACAGGCUGCUGGCUGCUGGUUACACAGAAACCCACUAUAGCCAAGAUGGCCAGCCAGUGGUGCUGGUCCCCAACCACAUGGGCGAGACACUUCUGUGGGCUCUGAGGACAGGGUGAGGGUGCUGGGGAUGGCACCUGGGAUAGCUCCUCACGAUCCCUACCCCAACCCUCCAACUCCGUUCCUAGGGGAAGUUGGAGCCACCCCUCCCCUCCCCUUCCUGCUCCCGUUCCCUCUUGGCUUCUGCCCUGGCUGAGGUUUGGGCUCAGGUUCCUUCCUCUCCAGGACCACUGUCACUACCACGGAGAGUGAGGGGCUUCCCCAACUCUUCGGUUAUGCUCAGCACCUGCUCUGGGAUGAGGGGCUUGAUCAGGCUCAACAGCAAUGCCAGCUAUUACCUGCAGCCCCUGGCCACCUGGAGACCCAGAGGACCUCUCAACCCACAGGACUUUCCGGAUGGAGAGGCUGCUCACCUGGAAAGGGACCUGCCAGCUACAGUGACCCCCGAGGACAAAGGGGGCAUGGCCAGGCUUCGUCCUGCCCCUCAGAGCAGGUACUUGACCCAGCACCGGAACUUGAACCAUACCAAAGAGCGCGUCUCCUGGAGGUUGCCAGUUAUGCAGACCAGAUCCUCAGGACGCUGGACAUCCAGGUGGUGCUGACAGGCCUGGAAGUGUGGACAGAGCAAGACCACAGCCGCGUCACACCCACGCCUGGCAACGCCACGCUCUGGGACUUCCUGAAGUGGCGCGGGGGCUGUGGGCACGGCUGGCCGCACGACUCGCGCGCAGCUACUCACGGGCUGCACCUUCCGGGGCGCCACUGUGGGCCUGGCGCCCGUCGAGGGCAUGUGUCGCGCAGAGAGGCUCGGGCGGUGUGAGCACGGACCACUCGGAGCUCCCCACCGGCGCUGCGGCCACCAUGGCCCAUGAGAUCGCCACAGCCUGGGCCUCAGCCACGACCUCGAUGGCUGCUGCGUGGAGGUCGCGGCAGAGCAAGGCGGCUGCAUCAUGGCCGCCGCCACGGGUACUCGCGGGCUAGGGCGGGGCCUAGGCUUAUUCCUCUGCGUGCUGCUUCACGUUAUCCCUCAGUUUCUCUUUUGUAAAAUGGUGGUGGUGACAACCACUUGUCCUCAUGGUUGUUUAUGAGGCCUCAGUGGAAGAAACGCAGGUAAAGUGGAUUCUCACGAGUAUGAAGAUUUUGAGAAAAACCUAGCAAGGUUGCUCCAACGCCGGAGCAAACGGCACGCGUAGGGCUGCGGUGUGGCUAACGCCAGGCCUGAGAAUCCAGGCUGAGUGCGGGCUGGGGUGUCCUGCGCUCCCGACGCCUCCCCCCCGCCCCUAGGCACCCGUUCCCGCGCCUCUUCAGCGCCUGCAGCCGCCGCCAACUGCGGGCCUUCUUCCGCAAGGGGGGCGGCGCGUGCCUCUACAACGCCCCAGACCCCGGGCUUCAGAUCCCGCCCACGCGCUGCGGGAACGGCUUCGUGGAAGCGGGCGAGGAGUGCGACUGCGGCUCUGAGCAGGUCAGGUCCGCCUGCCCGACCUCUGGGGACCGAGCCUGGCCCUCCUCCAGCGGUCAGGGGCGCGGUGCCCGCAUCUGUUCCAGUUUCACUUUUCUGGCCCCAGAAGUGCCCAGACCCCUGUUGCUUCGCCCACAACUGCUCGUUACAUGCGGGGGCCCAGUGUGCCCACGGGGACUGCUGCGCGCGCUGCCUGGUGAGGGCGGGUUGGUCCUGGUUGGUUGGCGCCCCCUGGUCCUCUAUGAGCGGGUCGCCUGGCCCUCGCGCCGGCUCCCCAUCUCUGAACAAGCUUGGCUCAGAUCUGUCACUGUCCAUUGACUCAACCGGGCCCCUGCGCAGCUGAAGCCAGCUGGCUCGCCGUGCCGCCAGGCUGCAGGAGACUGUGACCUCCCUGAGUUCUGCACUGGCUCUUCCCCCACUGUCCCCCGGAUGUUUACCUGCUGGACGGCUUGCCCUGCGCGGGAGGCCAAGGCUACUGCCUGGAUGGCGCGUGUCCCACGCUGGAGCAGCAGUGCGCACAGCUCUGGGGGCCUGGUGAGAGCGUGCCCUAGCAUCUGGCCCCUCCUCGGGUCUGCCCUUUCCUCCCGUAGGCAGGAUCUGCUGAGGAACUGAGGCUCUCAGAGCGUGGACCGGGCUGGGGCUUCGGCUGCGCUGCCCCAGUGCCCCUCUUUGAUCUUCAGGCUCCCGCCCAGCCCCCGAGGCCUGUUUCCAGCUGGUGAACCCCGCGGGAGACGCCACUGGGAAUUGCGGCCAGGAUGGCUCUGGCCGCUUCCUGCCUUGUGCUCAGAGGGACACUCAGUGCGGGAAGCUGCAGUGCCAGGGCGGGGAGCCCAGCCCCCUAGUGCCACACAUCUUGCCUGUGGAGUCCACACUUCACUUAGACGGCCACCAGGUGGCUUGUCGUGCAGCUCUGGUGAUCCCCGAUGCCCAGCUGGACUUGCUGGACUUGGGCCUGGUAGAGCCCGGCACCCAGUGUGGUCCUAGAAUGGUGUGCCAGGACAGGCGCUGCCAGAACACUUCCUCCCAGGAGCUGGAGCGCUGCCUAACUACCUGCCACAACCAUGGGGUUUGCAAUAGCAACCAUAACUGCCACUGCUCUCCAGGCUGGGCUCCACCCUUCUGUGACAAGCCGGGUUCGGUGGCAGUGUGGACAGUGGCCCAGUGCACCCUGAAAAUGGCGACACGUUCCUUCUGGCAGUGCUCUUCAGCUUCCCUGCUCCCUCUGCUCCCCUGGGGUGGGCCUGGCCUGGUGCUACUCCGGCUCCUGGGCUCCACCUCCAGCGAUGCCCCGGGGCUAUAGGAGAGACCAGGAAUGCAGUGGGUAGGCUCUGAGCACUCAGACUGGGGAGGGGGGUGAGCCCUCCAAGCUCUUUGGGACUUGGGAAGCUGGCUGGGUCCUCAGCCUCACUCCCAGGUUCAGAAGGACCCUGGAGGCAGCAGAGCCCAGGAUGUGGGUCCCUGCCUCUAUUUGCAUCUGGCCUUGCCCUCCACUUCCCUUCCUGCCAUCCCACCCCCUCCAGACUCCCAAUUCUCCCACCAGGUGGCUGCCUCACCCUUGUCUUGGCCAGGGUUUUUCUCUAGCUUCCAGUGCAGUCCGGGAACUCCCUGUGUCUCCUGAGGCCUCUCCAGCUGUCUCAUGAGUUUUGACCUCUCUGCCACUUCUGCCCAAAUCACUCUGUCACCCCUUCAAAUUCCCCAGUGUUCAGCCCAACACAUCUUUGCCUUCUGUACCAUUGGUCAGCUAUGGUGGUGGCUGCUUUUGUGCCACAGCCCUGAACCCUAUUCUUUGUGACCUGGGAGGAGGGCCACAAAAUACUAAGUCUGGUCAACUUAGGGCUGUCCCUUUGCUGGGACCUUAUGGCCAUGUCUGACAGCCUGGCCCUGGGAGGUGCGCUGGGCUAGCUGAAGGACAAGCAGGUUUGGGCUGGAGAUGGGGACAGAGGUCAUCAUAGACAGGGGCAUGACAUCAGGCAGGCCGCAGGUGCCCACUGACAGGGAUUUGGCCCAGUUUAGUAGUGAAUGGACAAGGUGUAUAGCAGGGGAGGGGGCAUUUCAGGGGCAGUGGCUGUAAUUUGUCAUCAAGGAAGUGACAAGACCCUGGGAGAAGGACUUAAGGGCACCAAAGAUAGGGUGGAGUUACUGUGGGCAGCAGGGUAACCAAGGCAAGGAGCACAGGUGGUAUGGCUCCUACUGGGCAGAAAGACAUCCAGCUCUCUAUGGGACCUAAGCAAUGCCAACAUCUAGAGGGUUCCAGGAAGCUGGGGUGGUGCCAGCGCAGGGAAGAAAUAGCAGGGCUGGAGGAAGGAGGUGCUGGCAGCCCUGGAGGCCAUGGAUCCCAAGGAAAGAAGCCUGGAUCCCAAGGGCUUUUCUCAAGAAGGGACAAGAAGAAGCCCGAGAGAGUAACUCAGAGCAGAAGGGCGGGACAGUCAAUGUAGACCUUGGGCUGGGUGCCAUGCCAUGGCAAAAUGGUCCCCAGUGCCCCACUCAGGGUCACUCUUCCAACCUCCUGGCCUUUUAUCCCACUGCUCAGGCCCAAAGAUGGCCCUCUCAGGAACCAUAGCCUGGGUGGCAUUUACCUUGCGCAGUUGGGGUCCGUGGCCAUUGGAGACCCCCAGCCCCUGGGUAAGUGAGGCACCAGGGGAUGUGCAGAGGGAAAGGAAAGGGCAGGAUGGGGUCUUGCCCUCUGCCUCUGUCCCAGUAGGCCUGCCCUCACCACUCAGUACCCAGCCACCUGGAGUCUCCUGUCCUCCACCCAGAUGCAGAGGCUCCUGCCGACUGUGUCAGCAUUCAUUCUCCACUGUUGCUCCCAGACCCUGAGAACUCUGCCCAAGUUCAGCAGUCACCCUGAGAAGCCUGUGCCCUGCUGCCCUUUUUGAUCUACAAGGUAGGGUCAACUCCAAUGCUGAGUCCUCUUCCUCCCAUUGCUCAGCCACUGAUGUCCGCAUCUCAGGCAUCUGGGUUUGGGUUAAAAUGGAAAUGAGACAUCACUUCUUGGAGACCAGGAUGCUAGAAGUCCCUUGGGGCAAGUAUGGGGGAAGUUGUGGUUUUUCCUGGGUCUUGGGUCAUUACUGAAGGGAACAAGGGGUCCCUGCCACAUGAUUUGCAACCUGGGGCCCCAGCCCUUUCUUCUGCAUUAGAAUCUCAGCAGGUCAAGUCUAGACACCAAGAUCCUAUCUGUGGGGGAAAGGUGGCUCCUGAGAUGAGUAGACAGGUGACCACUGACAGCCAUUCCAGGAACUUGGAUCCCAAGGACAGACACAGCGAGUCAACUGAUCUCCUGCACCUUCUGAAGCUUGGAGGUUUCUUCCUGCCUUGUCAAGGAGCUCCAGGACCCAAGCUUCAUCAGAAGUUGCUUGAUGUUGUCCCUGCUCUUGAGGGCUGGGGCAUGCUGGGUACAGCUUCCAGCCCAAGAAUCCAUCCACAAAGGAUUGAAGGUCCCAUAGUCCCCAACCCCCAGCAGGGGAGGCCUCUGUCCUGGGAGCCUGGCUAUGUCUGCUUUGUGCACUUUCCCUCCAUGCAGCUCUCUGGAGGGCAGGGACUCCUGAGACUCAACAUUUCUGAUGGAGCCCACAUUUCCUGGAGCCUGGCCCUUGCAAACAAGCAAGCAAACAAAAUCUUUGAUAUCUCCUUUCUGGUCUCCUCCUACCCGUCCUGUAUCCGGGAAGCUUCUGUAGCCCCUACCCUGACUCCCAGUUCUCCAUCUGAGGUUGUAGAGGGUGUGGCCUUUUGCAGCCCUCUUCACUUGGACUUUACUCAGUCCUCCAUUCUGUAGGAGAGGCCUGAGGAGUCAGGUCAGGAAAGACAGUGUAGAGUCAGAAGAAAGGCAGGCUUCCUGGUGCCUCUGUGAAUCUUUUCUGUUGUAAAUUCAACCCUUGGGGUGUCCUGAGGGGCCACUUGGAGUGAUGUGGUGGGUGGAACCUCCAGUGGUAGCCAGGACACCUGGAUUCAGGAGGGUGUUGCCCAGGUUGAAUUAUCCCUUUGCUUGUCCCUCCUGUCCCUUUGAACAUUCUUGUCUCCUGUUGCUCAUGCCAGAGUUGCUGAGUGAUCUGUAUUAGGCAGCUGUUGCUUUGUAACAAAACCACCUCCAAAACUGAGUUGCUUAAAACAACAGGCAGUACAAUCAUACUUCUGAGGGUGUGAAGAAUUGGAGAAUCUUUGCUGUCUACCAUUGGGAUCCAGAGAAGCGGCAGCCCCAGCUCAUCUAUAGAUUCGUCAUGGUUCCAAUAAACAUCCCAAGACAGUUUUGGUUUUUUGGUGGGGCGGGGGGCUUGACAAACUGCUCCAAAAAUGGACAUGGAACAGCAAAAAUCCAGGAAAAACCAAAAGAAAUUAAAUUAAGAAAAAAGGCCGGGGAUUUAGUUCAGUGGUUCCACCACCUGCCUCUCAAGUGCAAGGACCCAAGUUUGAUCCCAGUACCAAAAAAAUAAAAUAAAUUAAGAAUAAAAUAAGGAACAUUUGGAUGAUGGUAUCAAGAUUUAUUGUAAACUUCUAGUACAGCCAACAGUGAGGGCCACUGUUACUUCAUUACUUACCCUCAAUGCCCAAGCACGAGGGACUAAAUGCAACUACUUUAUGAUGCCACUUCUGUCUCACGGGUACCUGUGGGAUUUUAGUUUAGUGAGAACCCAGAGAAGUUAAGGCCUCUGUGAAAGAAGGUGCUGCUCAGUUCCCUGGAGAGGGAGG